rnacentral:misc_RNA from 1 species
GUAAAAUGUAGUUUGCAAGUGAUAAGUUUUCAGUCAAAACUUAUUUUCACAAGAAUGCUGACAUUGGGAGCUUAUGCCUUUCUAUUUUAAAGCUGUGAGAAUAGGGCUAAAACAGUUUUAGUAAGUUCAAUUUGUUUUCUAGUUAAUAAAGUCCAGAAAGUGGUAAAUUAGAGGGCUGUAGUUUAAUGUUUUAUUCACAUAAGUUCUAUAGCCUUUCAAUGGUGAUUAGAAAAUGAGUUUGUCGUUGUCCUCGCUAUAUGUAACUUUUGAAGAAUGAUACAUAGAACUUAUAACUAUGCCUUUUAGUUUCAAAAGUUAUGAAUUUAGAUACCGGAAUGAUUUUUUUCGUAAUUUGUGGAAUCAAAAUAAAGUUUGACAAUU